AGUUGUCGGCUGCGCGCAGCGCGGGCUCUCCGGCCACUUCCCCUCCCGCCAUCCCGGCCGUGGCCUCGCGCAGUCCGCGGGCGUCGCUUCUGCAGGUCGGUCCCCAGGUGAGGACGGGAAACUGGCCGUGGGCCCCGCGAGAAAUGGAGUCCAGGAGGGGGCGGGCGUCAUGAGGCCGCCAGGGCAGGUCUGGCCUCUACCGCCACCCUCACUCCCACCUCCAUUCCGGUACCCGCAGCUGGCCUCCGGCUGUGGGCCGGAUAAAGUGGGGGGUUACCCUGGGGACGUACUGUUGGAGAAAUACGGUACGGUGUUUCUGCCUAGCGAUCACGGUUACCCUCGGGAAAGUGCAUGCUCGCUGCGCUGCCUCGGAGCCUCCCAGCCUCCAGGACGGCCUAGGGCGUCUGACCCCUGACUCGAAUCAGUGACACCCCCAGGUCUGGGCCACCUUCCUGAGGACCGACCUGUGCUUCACUCUCAGGCUGCUGUGGUCCGCAGCAGUCCCGGGACGCUUUGGCACUCCGCGCGGAGGUGGGAAGAGCAAGGCCCAGAGGAACUUAACCAAGAGGUGGCAGUGAGCCGACGGUGCCACGCACCCUGCUAACGCCCUUUAACUCACACUCCUGUUGGAUCCUCAGCCUACAGAUGAAGACAUGGACUGUGAGGGGCCACGGGUCCUCCCCGGGUGACUCGGCUGAAAAGAAAGUUGAGGCCAGAGAGGUGGACAAUUCACCCAAGGUCACACAGCAAAUGCACUGGCAAAGACAAAAAGAGAACUGAGACCUAUCUCGCUCCAGAGACUUCUCUUCUCCCAUCCCAGGCUGUGGAGCUUGGCCCCGGGACAGCGUCCCCACUGUCGCUUCACCCUGCCGCUCCUCCCAGGCCACCUGUACCCUUCCCUGCCACUCUGAGAGGAUCUCCCUGUCAGGAGUCAGGAUGGAGCCAGAACGGCUGGAUGCAGCAGAGGCGGACCCCCACAUCAGACCUCACACCAGCCUGCAGUCUUGGGACCAGCAGUCCUCACAAGACCACCAGUGCUCUCGGUGCUGCAUCUACCCCACCUCCGUGUACCCGGGAAGGGGGAAGCAUCAUCAUCCAAGCUGGCUGCUGGCCUAGCAAGCGCUGUUGUUAUCACCACGGGAAUAGCAAACCUGUAAAACAAGAACCAACCACUAUGAAAAAGGAGCAUUCAGAGAACAGGAAAGAACAUUCGAAAAUGUAAGCGUUCACAGUAAUCAUGAAAACCCAACCAAGACUGAAUAGCAGAAUGGACACACCUGAGAACCAAAUCAGAGCAACAGAUGGAAAUUAUGAGAGAAAAAUGCCAGAGCCACGGUUCAAUGGAAGGAAUUGAAUUCACAUGCAGAAACGAAGAUGGAUCAAAAUCACCUUCCCAGUGAAAUCCGGCCCCUCCUCGCUCAGGCAGAGAGAUGUUGAUGGAUAACAGGGAGUUGGCCCUUGGCUUCUAUGCUGCAAUUAUCUGUCUUGCCCUGAAGAGGAACUCCUGUGUCAGUCCACAGGCCUCCGAGCUUCUGACUCCCGCGUUCUGGAUGCCUGUCAACCACAUCUCCCGUUUUCGUACAUCAGCCAUUAUUCCAGUAUUACCGCCUGGACUUUGUUGAUUUUUCUUUUUAUCUUCCUUGUCCACGUGCAACAGAUUUGAGGCCUUCUUCAUCUCAUCAAAUAACGAAAUCAGCCAUUUUCUGAUAUUUACUUCUCUUUCAAGUAAGAUAUUUAUCCCAAGGGGAGAACCAUUUUUUUUCCCCCUGCUCUCAUUGAAAUUCAUCAAAACUUUGGAGCAAUGCUAUGCCCUGGGAUCGGCCUUUUCAGGUGACUUCAUCUGUAUUCGUGCCUUGUCUGCCGUCUUUUUGCCAGUGACUUGUAAAUUUCCGUCUCCUGCCGGGACCUCUCCCCUGAAUUCCCAUCUUUUGCACCCAGCCACCGGUUUGUAGCUCCACAUGAAUGUCUCUGAAACACCACCAACCCUCGGUGAUUGCUCUCCCUUGACCCCAGCAGGCUCACCCCUACUAUCUGUGGAACCCGGGGUGAGAGGGAAACAGAGGCGCUGUCUACCUGCUUCUCCUCCCGUCCCGGCCCCGUCCAGAGCUUCAGGGCUAGCACACACGUGCAUGAACACUGGGGCCCACGCUCUGCCCACACCCACAUCCACAUCCACAUCCACAAACAGCACCCUUGCUUCUCCUGGGCCUCAGGGCGCACACUCCUGUGAUGCACCCUCCCUCCUGGAGGGGCAGGUCUGGGGGCAGGCUCCCAGCCAUCUGGGCGGGGAACUCUGAGGUCCAGAUCCUGAAAAGUCACCCCAACACCCUCUUCCUGGCCCCACAGCCGACCAUCUACCGGGACCUCUAGAUUUUCUUUCAGCCUCUCCCUCCCUAGUCCCUGGGGUUUGUCCACACCACCUCCCUCUCAUCCAGAGGCCAGAGCCACGGCUCUUCCCACAUGUGCUCUUGUCUGCUCCAAUCCAUCCCAACUUUUGAAAGAUGUUAAUGAGCUGAAGUCCCCAGGUGAGUGGUGUCCCCUUGCACAACACAGACUCCACCCCCUGCGGCCACCCCACACCCCUCCUUGCUCUCGAGGUCAGCCCAUUGACCACGGCAAGCGUGACGUCAUCCCUCUGGGUCUCCCGUCCAGAGGUGGAGCUGCCUCUCCAUCCCUUGAGUCUGGGCUGGCCUGUGACUCACCUUGGUCCACAGAACGUGGCAGCAGUGAGGUUGUGCCCCUCUGAGCCUGGGCUUCCUAAGGCCCUGCAGCUCCCACCCACACCCCUGCCCAGCUUCGGCGGGACAGGCCCAGGCUGGCCCACAGGGGAACAGGGGGGAGCCCUCUCACACCCAGGACCUCCGAGGCCCCCAGCUCCAACAACCUGCCUGCUGACCCCAGACACGCAAGCAAGCCCUGCCGGGCCCAGGUGGAGAGUCACAGAAUCACAAGCAAAUUCAGUGGUUGUUGUCUUAAGCACUACAUUUUGGGGCCGUUUGUUACAGGGCAAAAGCUGACGGAAACUUCCACGUAGUUCCUUGAGCUCCCCGGGGCCUUCCUGACCUCUGGCCUUUCACGUGGGUCACUGCUCCUCUGGGUCCUGCUUCAUCCUGAUUUGCUGGCUCGGCUCUGCUUCAGCCUUCCGACUUGGGCUUUCCCGCUGUCCCUGUCCCCAACCCCUCUGCUCCUCAGAACCCCAUCAUCCCUGCCACCUCUCUGCCCUCCUCCUCCCCGCCUCAGCUUCACCCUCUCCAGCUCACAUGGACCCUGGAGGGGCCUCCCUCUAGUGCUUCUGUCCACGAAGCCCUUUGCUCACUCCCUGUGACAGUCAACAUCUGAUUCACAUCUCUCUGCCCUAAGGGGCCAUGAGCUCCAUGGGGACAGAGACCACCGCAGACCUCCAGUUCCUGCCACGUGCCCGGCAGAUAGUAGGAGCUCAGUACACGUUUGCUGGGUGAAUA